AUCGGUUUUGGAUGGACUCGCGGCCUAUCAGCUUGUUGGUGAGGUAAUGGCUCACCAAGGCGACGACGGGUAGCCGGCCUGAGAGGGUGACCGGCCACACUGGGACUGAGACACGGCCCAGACUCCUACGGGAGGCAGCAGUGGGGAAUAUUGCACAAUGGGCGCAAGCCUGAUGCAGCGACGCCGCGUGAGGGAUGACGGCCUUCGGGUUGUAAACCUCUUUCAGUAGGGAAGAAGCGAAAGUGACGGUACCUGCAGAAGAAGCACCGGCUAACUACGUGCCAGCAGCCGCGGUAAUACGUAGGGUGCGAGCGUUAUCCGGAAUUAUUGGGCGUAAAGAGCUCGUAGGCGGUUUGUCGCGUCUGUCGUGAAAGUCCGGGGCUUAACCCCGGAUCUGCGGUGGGUACGGGCAGACUAGAGUGCAGUAGGGGAGACUGGAAUUCCUGGUGUAGCGGUGGAAUGCGCAGAUAUCAGGAGGAACACCGAUGGCGAAGGCAGGUCUCUGGGCUGUAACUGACGCUGAGGAGCGAAAGCAUGGGGAGCGAACAGGAUUAGAUACCCUGGUAGUCCAUGCCGUAAACGUUGGGCACU
rnacentral:rRNA from 1 species